rnacentral:rRNA from 1 species
CAUGCAAGUCGGACGGCAGCACGAGUACUUGUACUUGGUGGCGAGUGGCGAACGGGUGAGUAAUAUAUUGGAACGUACCGAGUAAUGGGGGAUAACUAUCCGAAAGGAUAGCUAAUACCGCAUACGCUUUGAGAAGGAAAGCAGGGGAUCUUCGGACCUUGCGUUAUUCGAGCGGCCAAUAACUGAUUAGCUAGUUGGUGGGGUAAGGGCCCACCAAGGCGACGAUCAGUAGUGGGUCUGAGAGGAUGAUCCGCCACACUGGGACUGAGACACGGCCCAGACUCCUACGGGAGGCAGCAGUGGGGAAUUUUGGACAAUGGGCGAAAGCCUGAUCCAGCCAUGCCGCGUGUCUGAAGAAGGCCUUCGGGUUGUAAAGGACUUUUGUUAGGGAAGAAAAGGUUGAUGCUAAUAUCAUUAACUGAUGACGGUACCUAAAGAAUAAGCACCGGCUAA